GACGAACGCUGGCGGCGUGCCUAAUACAUGCAAGUAGAACGCUGAAGGAGGAGCUUGCUUCUCUGGAUGAGUUGCGAACGGGUGAGUAACGCGUAGGUAACCUGCCUGGUAGCGGGGGAUAACUAUUGGAAACGAUAGCUAAUACCGCAUAAUAGCAGUUAUUGCAUGAUAACUGUUUGAAAGGUGCAAUUGCACCACUACCAGAUGGACCUGCGUUGUAUUAGCUAGUUGGUGGGGUAACGGCUCACCAAGGCGACGAUACAUAGCCGACCUGAGAGGGUGAUCGGCCACACUGGGACUGAGACACGGCCCAGACUCCUACGGGAGGCAGCAGUAGGGAAUCUUCGGCAAUGGACGGAAGUCUGACCGAGCAACGCCGCGUGAGUGAAGAAGGUUUUCGGAUCGUAAAGCUCUGUUGUAAGAGAAGAUCGAGUGUGAGAGUGGAAAGUUCACACUGUGACGGUAUCUUACCAGAAAGGGACGGCUAACUACGUG
rnacentral:rRNA from 1 species